rnacentral:rRNA from 1 species
AACGAACGCUGGCGGCAUGCCUAACACAUGCAAGUCGAACGAGACCUUCGGGUCUAGUGGCGCACGGGUGCGUAACGCGUGGGAAUCUGCCCUUGUGUUCGGAAUAACAGUUGGAAACUACUGCUAAUACCGUAUGAUGACGUAAGUCCAAAGAUUUAUCGCCCAAGGAUCAGCCCGCGUAGGAUUAGCUAGUUGGUGAGGUAAAGGCUCACCAAGGCGACGAUCCUUAGCUGGUCUGAGAGGAUGAUCAGCCACACUGGGACUGAGACACGGCCCAGACUCCUACGGGAGGCAGCAGUGGGGAAUAUUAGACAAUGGGCGAAAGCCUGAUCUAGCAAUGCCGCGUGAGUGAUGAAGGCCUUAGGGUUGUAAAGCUCUUUUAGCCGGGAUGAUAAUGACAGUACCGGGAGAAUAAGCUCCGGCUAACUCCGUG